rnacentral:rRNA from 1 species
GAGGUAACGGCUCACCAAGGCGAAGACGGGUAGCCGGCCUGAGAGGGCGACCGGCCACACUGGGACUGAGACACGGCCCAGACUCCUACGGGAGGCAGCAGUGGGGAAUAUUGCACAAUGGGCGCAAGCCUGAUGCAGCGACGCCGCGUGAGGGAUGAAGGCCUUCGGGUUGUAAACCUCUUUCAGUAGGGACGAAGCGCAAGUGACGGUACUUAAAGAAGAAGCACCGGCUAACUACGUGCCAGCAGCCGCGGUAAUACGUAGGGUGCAAGCAUUGUCCGGAUUUAUUGGGCGUAAAGAGCUCGUAGGCGGCUCGGCGCGUCGGAUGUGAAAACACGCAACUUAACUGCGUGCCUGCAUUCGAUACGGCCGAGCUAGAGGAUGGCAGGGGAAACUGGAAUUCCUGGUGUAGCGGUGGAAUGCGCAGAUAUCAGGAGGAACACCGGUGGCGAAGGCGGGUUUCUGGGCCAUUACUGACGCUGAGGAGCGAAAGCGUGGGGAGCGAACAGGAUUAGAUACCCUGGUAGUCCACGCCGUAAACGAUGGGCACUAGAUGUAGGGAGCAUUCCACGCUCUCUGUGUCGUAGCUAACGCAUUAAGUGCCCCGCCUGGGGAG